rnacentral:rRNA from 1 species
GAGUUUGAUCCUGGCUCAGGAUGAACGCUAGCGGCAAGCUUAAUACAUGCAAGUCGAGGGGCAGCAUGACUGUAGCAAUACAGUUGAUGGCGACCGGCAAACGGGUGCGGAACACGUACAGAACCUUCCUUCGAGCGGGGAAUAGCCCAGAGAAAUUUGGAUUAAUACCCCAUAGUAUAUUAGAGUGGCAUCACUUUGAUAUUAAAGAUUUAUCACUUGAAGAUGGCUGUGCGGCUGAUUAGAUAGUUGGUGAGGUAACGGCUCACCAAGUCUGCGAUCAGUAACUGGUGUGAGAGCACGACCAGUCACACGGGCACUGAGACACGGGCCCGACUCCUACGGGAGGCAGCAGUAAGGAAUAUUGGUCAAUGGACGAAAGUCUGAACCAGCUAUGCCGCGUGGAGGAUGAAGGCCCUCUGGGUUGUAAACUUCUUUUAUAUGGGACGAAAAAGGGACUUUCUAGUUCAACUGACGGUACCAUGUGAAUAAGCACCGGCUAACUCCGU